UCUUAUCCCGAGCUGGUGGAGGGUCAGGCCCAAUGAAACCCGGCAACCUGCAUGUAUUUCACAGCAUGCGUUGGUGCUAAUCUGAUGCAAGGAUUUUCCUUGAACGAUAAGA
rnacentral:ncRNA from 1 species